rnacentral:misc_RNA from 1 species
UGUGGGAGCGAGCCUGCUCGCGAUGACGGCAGCACAUUCAGCCUUUCAGUGACUGCCAGACCGCCAUCGCGAGCAGGCUCGCUCCCACA